rnacentral:rRNA from 1 species
CCUANGGGAGGCAGCAGUGAGGAAUCUUGCGCAAUGGGGGCAACCCUGACGCAGCAACGCCGCGUGAGUGAUGAAGGCCUUCGGGUCGUAAAGCUCUGUCAGGUGGGAAGAAAGUUUUCAGGGUAAACAAUCCUGGAGAUUGACGGUACCGCCAGAGGAAGCACCGGCUAACUCCGUGCCAGCAGCCGCGGUAAUACGGAGGGUGCGAGCGUUGUUCGGAAUUAUUGGGCGUAAAGAGCGUGUAGGCGGCCUCGUAAGUCAGAUGUGAAAUCCCUUGGCUUAACCAAGGAAGGGCAUUUGAAACUGCUUGGCUUGAGUACGGGAGGGGAAAGCGGAAUUCCCGGUGUAGAGGUGAAAUUCGUAGAUAUCGGGAGGAACACCGGUGGCGAAGGCGGCUUUCUGGACCGAUACUGACGCUGAGACGCGAAAGCGUGGGGAGCAAACAGGAUUAGAUACCCUGNUANUC